GGGGAAGCCCGAGGCUUUGAUAUAGGGGAUCCAAGGUGUUCUCUUCCUCUACGUGGCACUACACUUUCCAAGUUAUCCCUCUGAGCCUUGCACCAAAACAAAGCAUUAUUUUGACCUUGCACAUUUCCUUAGGCUGGAUGUAAUAAGUUAGAACAUUUGUCAAGCAGGUUAAUAGCAAACAUACCAACAGGCAAUGGGCCAAAAGCACGUCCUCCCUUCAGGCCUGACCACAGCAGUGGCUACCUGGGCAAGGGUGUAUUGGCACAUUGUCCUCCAGCCAAUACAAGGUUCCAGCAAUAUGGGAGGGUAAGCUCCCACUUCUGGGACUUGAGAGACAUGUAGGUUUACAAGAAGCCAAAGAAACCCUACAAGAUGAGGGAGAUGGGUUUGCAGUAGGCUAAGCAUGAUAGUUUUAAGUCUGAAGAAGGGGGAUCAAUCACAUCUGUUAAGUCCGAGGCUGUCCCAAUGUAACAGUUUAGGGUCUAAACCUUUGCAGGUUGGGCUUGGCCUCCAGAGUUGACCUAAGCCAGUAAUAGCAAGAUGGAUCACCGUGGCUGGAUGGCCUUGAAAGCAGAGGGCCAGACCCUCCUGAUGCAAGGAUUUGGGAGGCAGAGUUUCCAGAGGCCAGCCAUUGCUACCCCACAGAGAAGCAGUUUUAUUCUCUUUGCAAGAGGAAGAGUUGGUCUGUAGACCAGUGGGCAGAUAGUCAAUUGAAGGCUUUGCUUUUCUACUAACCCACUCGACUGUUUUUGUUUUUGUUUUUGUUUUUUAUUUUGUAGAUUUUUGUCCUGGGCCCAGAAUCCAAUCCAUACAAUAUAGCUCUCCCAAGUUUAGUGUUUUCUCUAAAGUGUGUAUGUAGCAUUUACAUUGAAUUGCUAUUAGGCAUGACAGAUAUUUUUAUGGCUUCCCCUAUAUUACUUUUUCUCCAACCCAUUAAUUUCCUGCAUUUUGAAGCAAAGCAUCUACAUGUUAAAUGAAAUCAUAAAAAUAUUAAAAAAAAAAAAGAAUAUCCUAGUUCUGUGAUUUUUUCCUAAGAAAAAAAAUCUUAUAAUACUUACAAUACAGUACUUAUAAUACUUACAACAAAGUACUGGAGUGGGGAAGAGCCUAGGAACAGAAAGAGCCUGCUCAGCCUCAGUUUAGCUGUUUGACCUCAAGUAAGCCAUUUAAACACACUCUGUAUGUGCCUCAGUUUCCUCAUCUGUAACAAGAGGUUUGAUCUCUAAGUUUACUUCCAGUUCUGAUUCUGUGAUUCUAAUCUGUGGGCCUUGAAUAUUAGGGUCAGACUCUAGAACGGUGUCAUCUAGUAUAUAGCCACAGGCCAUGUGUGGCUAUUGAACACUUGAAAUGGAGAUACUGCAAAUUGAGAUAGGCUGUAAAAUUCUUACCAGGUUUUAUAAACAUAAAAUAUCACACUAAAAGUUUUUUAACAGGACACCUGGCUGGCUCAGUUGGUGGAGCUGUAACUCUUGAUCUCAGGGUCAUGAAUUCAAGCCCCAUGUCAGAUAUAGAACUUACUUAGAUAAAAAUUUUAAAAUAUAAAAACUAUAUUUUAAAUAAACUGUUUUAUAUUGAUCACAUACUCAAGUAUUUUGGAUAUACUGAACUAUAUAAAAAAACAUUUUACUUUUUACUCUUAAUGUGGCUACAAGAAAAUUAUAAAUUACACAUGUGGCAUGUAUAUAUCUAUUGGACAGUGCUACUCUAAAACAUUUUGUUAAGUGGAUAUUAUUGAAGUAGGCCAAAAGUUAUACAAUAAUAACUAUGGUAUUUACCUCUAAAUGCCGUGGGUUACGGAACUGUUGUUUAUUGAUCCUUUAGUAUAAUCAAAUAACUGUGAACUUCUAUCAAAAUUCAAAACUUUUUUGAAACCAGUAAACCUGAAAAUGUUAUCAGAUAUUUCAUUACAUGAUGAUAGCCUGAAAUCAAAUAAAACUUGGGCUAUAAUGUUGACACCCUAUCGCAGUCACAAAAUUUGGAAACCCAUUGAGAAAUUGAAAGACAGAUAGGAAAAUAGAAAAUAGAGGCUUCUGGUAGAUAAGUAGGAUUAAAGUACUUCAUUGCAGUGUCACAAUGGGAAAAGGCUGUAUUUAUUAGUCCUAUUCUUUGAGGAAUUUCUAGAAUUUUAUAGCAUCUGGGCACAGUAAAUGAAAUUAUCACUAUCUAGUUAUUAGACCAUGUUUAGGGUCAUUUCAGAUCCUGCUCUAAAAAGGCAUCUACUAUUCAGAUAGGUCAUUGUUUGGCUCUGGAAUUGGAAAUUCAGAUUUGCCAAACACAGUUAUGGGAAGAGCCGGAAAAGAUCUAGUUAUCAGAAGCCGUAAGGGAAAACUGCCAAGUGGCCACUAGGUGUCACUUUUCCAUUUCUAUGGUGCUUUGUUUUCAUUAAUAUUUCCAAGUUCUAUGGGGCCUGAGGGGGGCAUUUAUGACUUGCAUUUAGAUUAGGUCUGCCUCUCUGGUGUUAGUUGUUUUAUGAAAAAUGCUUUUUAAGAG
rnacentral:lncRNA from 1 species